rnacentral:sRNA from 1 species
UAAUUGGUAAUUUGAGGGUGGCCGAAGAUGGCAGAGUCCUUUACAAAAGUAGAGAUGAUACACACUCGGAUGAGGUAAGCGAGCCGAUUUCGAGCCAAAUUAAUAACUUGAAGACAAAAAAGGUCUGUUCUCCAACAAUAUCAAGUGGUAACUGCCAGAGCAGGCGCAGCUGCUGACGGCUUAGCGACGGCAUAGGAAAGAAAAGAUAAAGAAGAUAAAGAAUAGAUGAUAAAAUGAGAGCAUGAUGCGGAAAUAGGAAAUAGAAAGACGAAUAAAGUAUUUACACUCGGGCUUCGCCCGAACACAUCUAUUACUUUUUAAGAAAAAUUGAAAAUAUUUUUUGCACAUAUAGCCAUUUUACAUUUAAAUUUGACAGUUGUCAAGUGUGUAUUAUCACUACUCAUUGUUUUUGUGUCAAGUGUGCAUUAUCACUACUGCUUGUUUCUUCGAAAAAAUAUUUGUUUCAUAUGUGUAAAUUGACGGUAAAUUUCUGUGGCUCAUUUUUAGAAGUACUUUAAAUAGAAAAGUUUUAAAAUCACUUCCAAAUUUGGAUGUGGGCACUCAAUUUGGUUCGGCUAGCUGCCAGCGAGAAUCAGGUCGAAGAGCGAUGCCGCAUGGUCCUAUUGCCUGAAAAAAAAGCUCUGGAGAAGUCACGGCCAUCUACUUCUUCAGUUUCCUUCAGUCCCUUACAAAGGGGCACCC